rnacentral:tRNA from 1 species
ACUAUUUUGGCAGAUUAGUGCAGUAAAUUUAGAAUUUAUUUAUACAGGUUUAGUUCUGUAAAUAGUA